AUGCACCCGACAGUGACCACAGUGAAGGCGCUGACGAUGGGCGUUGCGGCGAAGGAGGCCACCACCAGGAUCGUAGCGACGAAGAGGAGCACGGUAUGGUGCAUUGCGGCGGUGGAGGCCGCCAUUCCUGUUCAGGCGACGCUGACGGCGGUGGCCGAAGUUCCGGCGACGAGCAGCAGCCGGACCAAAAAUCCAGCGAGGAAAACGGAAGCCCCGACGUUCCCUGGCCAUAAAUCGGGCGAAAGCGAAAGCAAGGCCCUUCAGAGAAUCCAUCUCUUCUCACCUCUCUUUCUCUCCUGUAGCCUAUUCUCUGGUUCGAGCAGUGCUGAUGACGUGAAGAGAAACAGAAAGAUUGAAGUGAACAGAUUGAUUUCAUUGAUAGUUACUGCAGGUACUUAUAUGUCCUGA
rnacentral:rRNA from 1 species